ensembl:lncRNA
CGGCAGGUUGGGGCAGGGCGGCGGGGCCGGUUCCGAGGGCUCGGAGCCCUCGCUGGCAUCGAGGGCAGGACCCGCCCUGCCAGGACGGAGCCCGGCCACCGCGCCCGCCCCUCGAGAAGCAAGAAGUGACUUUAAAACCUUUUCUUUGUUUUUAAUACAGAGUGCUAAACUUCCUCCAUACCCCCUCCCCCGCCGCCUUCCACUUUCUAAAAAAAAAAAGCCCUGAGCUGCCACAUAAGAAUUCCAACCACCACUGAGGCCUCCACGCAUUGAGGAAGCCCCUGCCACGUGGAGAGGCUGUGGACGAGAGCUCCUGUCCCGGCCAACAGCCAGAUCAACCACCGGACACGUAGACAGUGAUUUUAAGCACCAGAGAGAAGAAACCCUGACCUGUGGGCAAGAACUCCAUCCAAGCUCUAGCCACAAGCUGUCAUUUAUCUGGGUGAUGCCGCUGAGACUAUGACUUAAAUUCUCAAAUUUCUCUAAUGACUUGUCUGCAUAAAUGACCUUUGGUUGCUGUUGGAGGUGGCCAUAUAAGCAAGCAUGAAGUGACUUAAGGGGUGCCAUCUGGGUGAGCCAAACAGCUCAACACCUUCUCCCCUGCUGACCAUGGUGCCAUCAUCAGGGAUUCACGCCACUGAAUCAAAAGGAAGUUUUUGGUGUACAAGAGUCUCCUAAUAAAAAUAUCCCUGGAUGGAUGCUUAUGGCAGCUAUGUGCUCAGGCAUUUGGCUAGACUCUGGGGAUGCUGGAGUGAACACAGUCCCUGCCUCAUGGAGCAUGCAUUACAACGUAGGAGACAGACAAACAGUUCACCAGACUCUUCCCAGAAAAAAUGGUAAGAGUUGAAUGUGUUCAGAAAGAGGUUCUGAACGGAGGCUUCUAACAGGACAGCUCUGCGGCUGCAGACAUGGAGGAGCUGAGCUCUGCAUCAUUCACCCACCAAAAAUGAAGAUCCUGGAAACUCUCCUGCCAUCCCUCACCCGUGACAGAUCUGCUAUGCCAGCAUCCAAAAGGAUGCUGCUCUUCUGGUCCAGAAUUCUCUGAUUGCAAAGAGAAAAAAAUUUGUAAAAUUUCCCCUGGUGUACAAUUAUUCUUUUUCCUGACCCUAAUGCCCGGCCUCUUACAUCAAACAUUCGCUCAGUGCCUUCUGGGUACCAAGGACUGGGGACACAACACUAAUUAUGGCCUUGUCCCUGCUGUCAAGGGGCUCCCAGAACAGAGGGCCAAGUGACUUCUUGAGAUGGCUGCACCAUGACCCUGUUUUCCUGAGGAACAGGCCAUGCUGCUGUCUUCCCCACAAUUCCCUUCAGAUCUGCAGGUUCUUGUCUGCGUGGUACCGUGUCAGGCCUGUGGAGGACACAGUGAGAAAUGGCACCCUCGCAGACUGAAGGAGUCAGUGAGCUAGACUUGGGUGGGGGGAGGUGGGCUGUGUGCAAGACAAGUACCCAAACCUCUACUAGUGGGCAGAACACAGGCUGCUUCUUGCUUAGCUUUGUGCUUAAAAACAAAACAAAACAAAAAU